CGAUCUCGACGGGGUCCUAGUAGCGUUGGAUUUGUCAAAGGCGUUUUGACACCGUCUGCCAUUCCACGCUGCUAGAAGACAUUGAGGCCUCCUCUCUCCCACAGGGACUCAAACGGUGGCCGGUGAAUUAUAUGAGUAGUCGACAGUCGUCAGUAAUCUUCCGAGAUGAAACCUCGAAACCUAGAAGAAUAAAACAACGGGUUCCACAAGGUGGUGUUCUCUCCCCCCUACUGUUCAACUUCUACAUCUCGAAGCUCCCCCAGCCACUUCAGGGAGUUUCCCUGAUCUCAUUCGCUGAUGACUGCCCCAUAUUGGCGUCUGGGAACGGAAUUCAUGACCUCUGCUCAAAAGUAAACGGCUAUCUUUCUAGCCUUUCUCGCUUCUUCACUGCAAGGAGCUUAACACUCUCCAACGAAAUCAACGGCGACCCUCUUCACCACCUGGACGAAGAAGGUCAGGCUAGAAUUAGGCAUUCACGUCGACGUCGACGACAGAGACGUGUAAUAAUUUAGCCAAUUGGCGUCAGAAUAAGGAAUGAAUAAUGAUUAGCAACUCAACCGUUGUUGAUUACUACAGCUAUUACUGCGAAUUGCUGAAGUAAUUGCUUCACAUGUUGACUUACGUCUUGGUGGAUAUGGAAAGACCGUUCAGGUGACCGAACAAAUGACCAUCACAGUCCUUGGUUUAUAUUGCAAAGAAGAUAAAGAAGGAUUAUUUUUCAAAGUCAAUGCAAAGUCGAAGAAUGAGUUGUGGCCAUAUAUUUAAACAUAUGUUAGAUCAGCAACCACUCGAAUUUGCGCUGAUAGUGCACGACAGUAUGCAAAUGUGAAUGAAAUACUAAGUGAUGACACAAUUCAUCUCAUGACUGAUCAUAUAAAGUUGAAUUUGCCAAUAAAAAAUCCUAUCUAAACCAUUAAUGAUUUGGAGAACCGGAAUCGUUUAUUGAAGUUUAUUGGUUGUGUGCCGAAGGACACCCAAAUUGCUACAUAAUAUAUGACUAUAUUUCUAUCGCAGACAUCAAUAAGAAAAAAAAUCAUGGAAAGGAUAGUGAAGCACAUAAUAUGCAAUUUCUUCUUUAUCCAGGUAUCGUGAAUGGAGAAAACAGAGUGGGAUUCUGUUAGAGUUUGAUCCUCCAACUGUUGAGUCUGAAAGUUUUAUUUAUUUAUUUGUUUGCAGCUAUAAUCUAGAAAAUAUAAACAUUUCCUUACAGACUAUUUUCAGUUAACAAUUGCAAUGGAAUUACUAAUUAAACUAGUUCAUUCAGGAACUGCUUAAACCUAGGAAACUUAACUAACUGCUUAAACUUAGGUAAUGAAACAUCAAUGUCGGCAGAAUUUUUGAGCGUAUUAAAUUCCUUCAUCGUUCUGGCAAUUGGCGCAUUAGAAGCAUAUAUUGUUCUUACUCGAUCUAAUACAAAAAUAUCAUGGUUUCGAAGGCUUCUAGAUGGAAUGUUAAAACAAAUACGUUCUAGUAACAGUGGCGAGUCAAUCGCACCACGUUUUACAUCAAAAACAAAUGGCAAUGAAAGGAUAGUUCUUCUACUAUUUAAGGAUUUUAACCCUGGCAUUCAGUAAGCGGUCUCUAGUCACUAAUAGUGAC